rnacentral:rRNA from 1 species
UACAGAGGUGGCAAGCGUUGUUCGGAAUUACUGGGCGUAAAGGGCGCGUAGGCGGUUCGUUAAGUCCUGUGUGAAAUCCCCCGGCUCAACUGGGGAACUGCACAGGAAACUAGCGGGCUUGAGUUCGGGAGAGGGAAGCGGAAUUCCGGGUGUAGCGGUGAAAUGCGUAGAUAUCUGGAGGAACACCGGUGGCGAAAGCGACUCACUGGCCCGACACUGACACUGAGGUGCGAAAGCUAGGGUAGCAAACGGG